AGAGGAAACAGUAGAAGAAUGAGACUUAAUAUGUUUUUUAAAGAGCAAUGGAAGUUUCACAGCCUAGUGAAUACUCCCAAAUGAUCCAUAUGCUUGAUAUUUGUGUUAUGCAGAGAAACAAAGUAAAGGGCCCUGGGCCCACUCGAGACAUCUGGUUUGCAUCUCAUCUCUGGCCACUAACUUACUGUAUCACUUGGAUAAAGAAACUGAGACUCAGAAUGCUAAGGUGUUUGUCAAAAUUUUUGCUGCCCUGUGACACACUUGGGCACUCAGAGAAUCAAGUUGUCCACAGGAUGUACACAUUCACUGUCCAUUUGGAAGACGCUUGCAACUGCCCACCUUUGCCAGGGACCAGUGGGAGCUCUGAAAGGAAGCUCUGAAAGGAGUUACAGCGGCGCAGGCAAGGCAAUUUCUUCUGUCCCACCAUCGAAGUGCCAUUUCCGCUGCAGACAAUAUGUUACAAGAAAAUCUCCCAGAGCAGAGAAGAUACGAGGGAAUGUAACACAGACCUGAGGUCAAUUUCCAGCUGCCUGUGUGACCUGAGCAAGAUACUUAACCUCUCUGGGCCUAGUCCCUCAUAUGUUAAAUCUGGUUAAUAAUAAACAUAGCUCUAGAUAGUUGUGGGGAGAAACAGCAUAUUUAAAUUGCUCUGGCAAAUGCCUGGCUGAUAAUAGGCAUUUAAUACAUGAAAUUUAUUUUUAUUACUCUCAUAAAAAUUAAGAACACCAGCUCCUUGAUUACAGACGAAAAUGAUUUAGGGUAACAGUAUAGAGAAUACUCCCUCCCUGAGGAAAGUAACUGGAUCUUGUCAUCACUGUAUUCUAACCCCACCCCUACCCCCCACCCCAGCUCAGUGCCUGCCUCACAGUAGCCACUCAGUUUUCCUCUGCUGCAUGACUGAAUGAGAGGUGAGUGCCUGGAGUAAAGAAAAGUUGUCAAGAUUUCCCUGCCACUAGCUACUGUUGGGCUGUUGAAUUUUAACCCUCAAAGCCAAAAAGACCAUCAGACUCUGGGCUCUAAACGCGUAAGCUGAAUUCCCCGAAGUUCUGAAGUUGAGAAGCCCGAAUUAGAACCUAGGGACCUAAACUGCUGCAGGUCCAACUUCAAGCCUCAGUCACGGGCAAAAGGCCCAGGAAAGGGCUGCCUUCGACCCUUUCCUCCCUCACUCCCCUUCCUUCGAUGCUCCUCACAGGAGUUUUUACACCUGUUCCUGUCAAGUCACACUCUUACAUCCUGGCAUUCCAGGGAGGCUCUGGGAAACUCGGGGAAGGAGGCUGUUUGGUGACUACUUCCUAGCCCUGAAGGUGAUGAUACUACCCUAACUCUGCCCAGUGAGGUGGUUUUCACCGCCCCGCCCCCCAGCCUCCCGCACCCCCGCCGCAGAUAAAGGAACUGAAAAGCUCAUAGAAGUUCGGUGACUUGCUCACUUCACACCAUGGCAGCGUUGGCCACGACAGAACCCACGAUUCCCGACUUCGGUG